CAGAUUCACCAUAUUGCCCUGUACACAUGAGAUCACAUAUGAUGUCAGAAGCCAAGCAGCAUCAGGACUGGGCAGGAUUUGAAUGGAAGACCAUCAAAUAACUUGAGGGAUUUGC
rnacentral:rRNA from 1 species